rnacentral:RNase_P_RNA from 1 species
GUAUCCAGCCGGACCAUCGCCCGAUAAUUGCGGGAGGAAAGUCCGAACACCAUAGGGCAACAUGCUUCCUAACGGGAAGGCAACUGCUUGUUAAAGUUCUUUUGCAAGCGGUUGACAGCAAGUGCAACAGAAAAUAUUCCCGCCGAUGGCCUUUCGGGGUACAGGUAAGGGGUGAAAUGGUAGGGUAAGAGCCUACCAGCACAUUGGGUGACCAUUUGUGGCUGGGCAAACCUCAUGUGGUGAAAGACCAAGCAGUGUAAGUUGCCCCUAAAGGGUGACACGGGCGGCCCGUCCGGAACUCCUUACACGGGUAGGUUGAUAGAGGCGGUCAGUGAUGGCCGUCCCAGAUAAAUGAUGGUCUCCCCAUUUCGAGCGACCAUAAGUGGGCAGACAGAAUUCGGCUUAUAGGCUGGACAUCGUG